rfam:Lodderomyces elongisporus NRRL YB-4239 supercont1.3 genomic scaffold, whole genome shotgun sequence.
CCUCUGGUAGCUCAGUUGGUUUAGAGCAUGAGACUGUAAUUAAGUUCCGCAAUCUUGUGGUCGGGAGUUCAAAUCUCCUCCGGAGGA